rnacentral:lncRNA from 1 species
UGGGACGAAGUCUCACACAUAUGAUGAAUCAUGGCACAGGAUCGAAUGUCACAUCUUUACUACAUAACAGGAGUUCUAUACAAAAUAAAUAAAUAAUUACAUUAUAAGGAGACAACGGUCCAGCAACCCAAAGUUGACUGGGAGACGACGGCCUAGAUCUCUCACGAACUCAUCGCAGCAACCUCCAAGCGCCUCAUCCUGCGGUACCUGUUCUUGACCUGUGGGGGGGUGUGAGACAGCAAGAGUGAGCUCACAUACGUUCAUCGCUCAACAAGUUGUGGGGAAUAAUGUGCAUGAACUCGCCAAAGGUGGGAGCUCACGUGAAGUGUAAGGCUUACCAAAGAGGAUGGUUAGAGCUGAGCAUUGCUUUUAAAGUUAGUCAAAAUUUUAUUAGCAAUUACUAAGUAUAAGUAAAUACCAACCCAAUUAAGUAGCAGAACAAAAGUAACAACCUCACCUGCGAUGCAAUGCAUAUGACAAAUUGAGUUUAGGUUUCAUAAUUUAAUCAUCAGAGAGUCCUGAGCUGCUCAUGACCGUGAGCUCGGCUAGUAUACCAGUUUUACACUCUGCAGAGGUGGUACCCUUUACCCACAAGUCAUGUUACCCGUCUGCCAAGGGAUCGCGACUUCCCAUACACCUCUACCGAGGAGGCGAGGUAGGGUAACACUACGAGGCCUUUACAAAGUUCCACUAGCUUCAGAAAACCCGCUACAGUUUAUAGGAAGCUCCAAUGCAGGAAUCCCUUGCAGGACCGCCAUCGCAGCAAAAUCCUCCCGAGGGCCUCCCUACACUGACCACUCCCCUACUGCCCUUGCCCCUUUCGGGUAAGGUAGUCCUCCACUAGCUUUCCUAAUUAAUCAGCCAAGGGCGUCCAUAAACCCUUGUGGUGGCACGUGUUUCUCAAGUUAAGCUCUAUGUUCCAAUUAACAUUAAUGAUCUUGACAUGAACAUAAAUAGAAUAACAAAAUAACUGGAACAUAGAUAUGAUAAAUAAUUAUCCCAAAUCCAUGUAAAGCAAUAGCAAACUACCCAAGUGAUUCAGGGGUAAAUAAGGUAAUGAGAUAAACAAUCUAGGGUAACCUAUUGGGUCCCAUCAAAAUUAACCUAUGCAUGAAUAAAUGAUAUUAAAGAACAUUAUUGGGUAAAAAGUGGUCAAGGGCACAACUUGCCUGGGACUUGAGAUUCCAGGUACCAGGAUGAUCUUCAGAUGACUCGUGACCUCACGCUAUUCGUAGUAAUACAAACAAACAUUGUAUAGGCAAAAUUAACAUCACACCAAACAUAUAUGCAAAAUACAUAUUAAUAAUCUACAUAUUGAAAUAAGAUCACAGGAACAUGAAUUACUAAUUUUGGAGUUAUAGAUUUUAAGUUAUGGAUUUCCAAAAAUUCUAUGUGUUUUGUACAAGAUUAAUUAGGAUAUCAAUUUUAAUGUGGCUUUCAUGUCAAAACAGUGACCCAAAAUAAUAAACAAUAAUAUUACAAAUUAUAGGAACUGGAAUGGGCUAAUUUGGACUUAAUAUGAAUUUUCUAUGGAUUAUACAAGUUUUACAAUUAUUUCUAUACUCAAAAUCAAUUUCUAAAUCUCUUUUUCCUAUUUUCUUUUAUUCCUGGACUGGGCGCACUAAUACAGAGAAAGUCGGGGUUUAAAUCGAACAAUAACCCAAACACAGUCUACUCCCGCGAGGACGGCGGGUUAUUUAUAAUAAAGGGUAGGGUUUCUUUUGCAAAUUUGAAUGGCUGAAGGGGUAUGGGCGGAUGAGAGCCGUUGGAUUACCAUUGCGCGGCGCAGAUUAAAUCAUGUUCCUAUUGAACCGGUAUACACCGAGCACCGUUGAUACCCAGAUCCUCGGCCCAGAUUUAAAUAACUGAGAAUCAAUCGCGACCCUCGAUCCCGAUCGGACGGCCCAGAAGGGUUCAGGCCGAACCGGUACCCAAGAUUUAAUCCCUGCCCUACAACUCUGAUCUAACGACCAUCCACACGUCUUCAACCUCCUGACGCACACAACGGCCGCGGAGGGUGACAGCCGCUGGGCUACCUCAAGGAGGAGCAUGACCAUCGGCUCGCCCCACACGCGGGACAGGCGUCGAGGCAGCAGCGGACGCCUGGCCGUUGCCCAAGGCGAGAGCACACCCAGGUAAAAAAAUAUCGUUGCAUGGAUAUAACUACUCCUGACCUUUACGAAUCUCGACGGAGGGGGAGGUACCUGCGCGAUUCGGUGGCGGCCAGGCCCAGGCUUUCCCGAAAUAAUGGUGUCGAUGUUGCUACCCACGGUACAAGCAGUGUUUGCGGAGUAGACGAACUCCGACGAGAUCCUCCAUGGCACAGGUUCGGUCUCCAGAGCCGGCGCCCGGGACCCUGGUGACGGUGGGUCCGAU